GGAAUUCGCAGCCCGGUGUUCCGCAUGAUGUUCUACAGCAAUGUGCCCGAAAACAGCCAGGACGCCGUAGAUAUCUCCGAUAUUCACCCGGAUGCCUUUGCCAACAUGUUAAGGCUGUGUUCUGGCAUGCUGACAACAUCGUGCACGAGUGUCUGGCGUUGGUGGAUCACCACGACCAAUUCGAUGGCAUCACACAGGAAACACUGCAACGUAUUCUGCAGCGCAAGACACUGCUGGCGGAGGAGCGUGUGAUUGAUUUACUUGGCUGUUGAACGCUGGGGAACCGCGGCCUGCGCUAGUAUCACCGUGGACGCUUCGACUGCGGCCAAUCGCCGUCAUAUGCUGGGAAACGCGUUG